rfam:Candidatus Buchananbacteria bacterium RIFCSPLOWO2_01_FTLL_46_12 rifcsplowo2_01_scaffold_16075, whole genome shotgun sequence.
GGCCUCAUCGUCUAGCCUGGUCUAGGACACUAGAUUCUCAUUCUAGGAACUCGGGUUCAAAUCCCGAUGAGGCCG